UAAAGAAAUCAAGAGCGUACAGUGGAUGCCUUGGCACUAAGAGCCGAUGAAGGACG
rnacentral:rRNA from 1 species